ACACGUGGGGGGCGAGCGUUGUCCGGAAUUACUGGGCGUAAAGGGUGAGUAGGCGGUCUGUUAAGUCAGAUGUGAAAGACCUGGGCUCAACCCGGGAUGUGCAUCUGAGACUGGCGGACUUGAGUGCAGGAGAGGGAAGUGGAAUUUCUAGUGUAGCGGUGGAAUGCGUAGAUAUUAGGAAGAACACCAGUGGCGAAGGCGGCUUCCUGGACUGUAACUGACGCUGAGGCACGAAAGCGUGGGGAGCGAACAGGAUUAGAUACCCUGGUAGUCCACGCCGUAAACGAUGGAUACUAGGUGUAGGAGGUAUCGACCCCUUCGGUGCCGGAGUUAACACAAUAAGUAUCCCACCUGGGGAGUACGGCCGCAAGGUUGAA
rnacentral:rRNA from 1 species